AUGAACGCUGGCGGCGUGCCUAAUACAUGCAAGUCGAGCGAACAGACGAGGAGCUUGCUCCUCUGACGUUAGCGGCGGACGGGUGAGUAACACGUGGAUAACCUACCUAUAAGACUGGGAUAACUUCGGGAAACCGGAGCUAAUACCGGAUAAUAUAUUGAACCGCAUGGUUCAAUAGUGAAAGACGGUUUUGCUGUCACUUAUAGAUGGAUCCGCGCCGCAUUAGCUAGUUGGUAAGGUAACGGCUUACCAAGGCGACGAUGCGUAGCCGACCUGAGAGGGUGAUCGCCACACUGGAACUGAGACACGGUCCAGACUCCUACGGGAGGCAGCAGUAGGGAAUCUUCCGCAAUGGGCGAAAGCCUGACGGAGCAACGCCGCGUGAGUGAUGAAGGUCUUCGGAUCGUAAAACUCUGUUAUUAGGGAAGAACAAAUGUGUAAGUAACUAUGCACGUCUUGACGGUACCUAAUCAGAAAGCCACGGCUAACUACGUG
rnacentral:rRNA from 1 species